UGCCAGCAGCCGCGGUAAUACGGAGGGGGUUAGCGUUAUUCGGAAUCAUUGGGCGUAAAGGGCACGCAGGCGGUCUUAUCAAUCAGAUGUGAAAGCCCGGGGCUCAACCCCGGACGUGCAUUUGAAACAGUAAGACUUGAGUACGGGAGAGGAAAGCGGAAUUCCUGGUGUAGAGGUGAAAUUCGUAGAUAUCAGGAGGAACACCGAUGGCGAAGGCAUCUCUCUGGGCCGAUAUUGACGCUGAGGCGCGAAGGCGUGGGUAGCGAACGGGAUUAGAUA
rnacentral:rRNA from 1 species